UUGACCUCGGAUCAGGUAGGAUACCCGCUGAACUUAAGCAUAUCAAUAAGCGGAGGAAAAGAAACCAACAGGGAUUGCCUUAGUAACGGCGAGUGAAGCGGCAACAGCUCAAAUUUGAAAUCUGGCCUAUGGUCCGAGUUGUAAUUUGCAGAGGAUGCUUCGGGCGCGGUGCCUUCCAAGUCCCCUGGAACGGGGCGCCGGAGAGGGUGAGAGCCCCGUACGGUUGGCGGCCAAGCCUGUGUGAAGCUCCUUCGACGAGUCGAGUAGUUUGGGAAUGCUGCUCUAAGCGGGAGGUAGACCCCUUCUAAAGNUAAAUACCGGCCAGAGACCGAUAGCGCACAAGUAGAGUGAUCGAAAGAUGAAAAGCACUUUGAAAAGAGGGUUAAACAGCACGUGAAAUUGUUGAAAGGGAAGCGCUUGUGACCAGACGUGCGCCGGGGUGUUCAGCGGGCGUUUUCGCCCGUGCACUCGCCCCGGUGCAGGCCAGCGUCGGUUUGGGUGGGGGGAUAAAGGCGUCUGGAAUGUGGCUCCUCCGGGAGUGUUAUAGCCAGACGUGCCAUGCCUCCGCCUGGACCGAGGUACGCGUUCUGCAAGGACGCUGGCGUAAUGGUCUCCAGCGACCCGUCUUGAAACACGGACCAAGGAGUCGAGGUUUUGCGCGAGUGUUUGGGUGGAAAACCCGCACGCGUAAUGAAAGUGAACGUAGGUGAGAGCUUCGGCGCAUCACCGACCGAUCCUGAUGUUUUCGGAUGGAUUUGAGUAAGAGCGUAGGGCCUCGGACCCGAAAGAUGGUGAACUAUGCUUGGAUAGGGUGAAGCCAGAGGAAACUCUGGUGGAGGCUCGCAGCGGUUCUGACGUGCAAAUCGAUCGUCAAAUCUGAGCAUGGGGGCGAAAGACUAAUCGCACCAUCUAGUAGCUGGUUACCGCCGAAGUUUCCCUCAGGAUAGCAGUGUUGUUCUUCAGUUUUAUGAGGUAAAGCGAAUGAUUAGGGACUCGGGGGCGCUAUUUAGCCUUCAUCCAUUCUCAAACUUUAAAUAUGUAAGAAGCCCUUGUUGCUUAAUUGAACGUGGGCAUUCGAAUGUAUCAACACUAGUGGGCCAUUUUUGGUAAGCAGAACUGGCGAUGUGGGAUGAACCAUACGGGGGGUUAAGGUGCCAGAGUAGACGCUCAUCAGACACCA
rnacentral:rRNA from 1 species